rfam:Picea glauca, whole genome shotgun sequence.
UACCGAGGGAGAUGAAUCUAUUCUUCUGUGAGUAUGAGUAUGAUAUUCAUUUGCACACUUUCAAAUGCCUGACAGAUGUG